rnacentral:misc_RNA from 1 species
AUUCACUCCCUCUCUCUAUCAAACAUGCCUUUUCUUCCUUCGUCCUUCUUGAGUAUAAUUAGACUAUCAUAGUGAUCAACAACAGGGACACAAUAGAAGUUGAAUCUUUAUUACUUGGCAAGUUUAAUUUACAUCAUCAAUCACUGUUCAGCAUUGCAUUCCUCACCAAUGGAGUUAAUGUUUAUUGUGAAUUGCAUGUAGCAUGAUUUAAGAAGGA